UACGUAGGGCGCAAGCGUUGUCCGGAAUUAUUGGGCGUAAAGAGCUCGUAGGCGGUUUGUCGCGUCUGCUGUGGAAACCUGAGGCUCAACCUCGGGCUUGCAGUGGGUACGGGCAGACUAGAGUGCGGUAGGGGUGACUGGAAUUCCUGGUGUAGCGGUGGAAUGCGCAGAUAUCAGGAGGAACGCCGAUGGCGAAGGCAGGUCGGUGGGCCGCAACUGACGCUGAGGUGCGAAAGCGUGGGGAGCAAACAGG
rnacentral:rRNA from 1 species